rnacentral:tRNA from 1 species
UCCCUGGUGGCUCAGAUGGUUAAGCAUCUGCCUGCAAUGCAGGAGACCCGGGUUCGAUCCCUGGGUCGGGAA